GCCAGGUGCAGUGGUGCACGCCUGUAAUCCCAGCAGUUUGGGAGGCUGAGGCAGGAGGAUCUCAAGUUGAAAGUCAGCCUCAGCAAAAUCAAGAUGCUAAUAAGCAACUCAGUGAGACCCUGUCUCUA
rnacentral:sRNA from 1 species